CCCUGUGCCUGUGCCAUGGGGGUGCGUGUGUGGGGCAGAGCCGUGCUCCAGAGCCACCAGCACAGGCUGUCACCUCCUUGCAGGUCCAAAGCACUGCUGUGCCCCUGGCACGGCCCUGCCUCUGCCAUCUGCUUCAUCAGAGUUUGGGGAAUGAGAUUCCCGUCCCCAGAGCUGAGGGGACUGGAGCGUCCGUCUUUCGAGGGAAGGCUGAGGGAGCUGGGACUGUUCAGUCUGGAGAAGAGACAACUCGUCCCCCAAAGGGACCUUAUGGAUGUAUCUAAGUGCUUUUCGAUGGCCGAGGAGCUCAGUGACCUGCUCAGGGAGUUUGAUGAGGUGAUGGAGGACUUUGACCGGGGCCCUGCAUGUCAGUACCAGCAGCACCUGGAAGAGCUGAAGAGGAAGGCGGGACACAGCGUGUACGACAGCGGCAUCGAUGAGCUGGAGAGUGCCAGCACGUCCCCGGGAAGCAGCCUCAACUCCAGCGAGGAGCACCUCAACACCCCAGCCGACACUUACCCCACCAAAGCUAAGCUUGGUGACACGCAGGAGCUGGAGGAGUUCAUCGCGGACCUGGAUAAAGCCUUGGAGGGCUCUUUCAGCUGGGGCAGAAAUACAAAGGCUUAAGUGCGUUCCCUCUCUGCUGCCUCAGCUUCCCUCAGCUGAUGAGCUGGAGGUGCUGGUACCUGGGGAGGGGACUGAGGAUAUGAAGGCCAUGUUGGUCCUGGCAAUGAUGCCCAACAGGACAACCUGCAGAGCUGUUGAUGUUUUUGGGAAGAUGCAGAGGUGCCUGUGGCUCUCUGCCUGCAGCCUCCCUCCAGCUCCUGCUUGGAGGCUGCUCUUUGCUUGAGGGAGAAAGAGAUGUGAGAUGUGGUUCGGGGUUUGGAGAGGAGGAUCCCCAGCAGCUGAGCCCCCCUGAUGCCUGCCUGAUGCACCCUCUGCUUCUGCACCCACUGCUGGCCUGGGGAUGGCUCCUGGGGCCGUGCUGGGGACGGGGACAGGCGCAGGGACAGGCGGUGGGGACGGAUCCGGCCAUGGGACAGUGGUGGCAGGACCCUGCCAGCGCCGAGAGAGGAGAACCCGGGGUGGGCACUGGGCUCUGCCCUGCACGGGGGCUGGUGGCUCCUGGGACUGAGUGGGUUGAGGAGGCCUGUGCCACUGAUGAAGCCCUUGGAGACCCCCUGGGUGAUUUUGGGGAAGGACAUCAGUGUGACCUUGGUGUCCCCUCCAGACUGGGAAAGCCUGUUCCCCCGGUGGCAUCUGUCACAGGCGGUGGCAGCCACUGCUGGCCCUUUGCUUUGCAUGGGGACCCCCAAAUCUGGCCCAUCCCUGCCCCCCAAGUGCCUCUGCCCCAGCUGCUGCUGCUGUAAAUACUGUAAAAAGGAUGUUUUGGGCUGUACAGAGAGAAUGUGUUUCUAUAAACAGGAUUUUAAGCCUC